ensembl:snRNA U6 U6 spliceosomal RNA
GUGCUUCCCUCAGCAGCACAUAUACUAAAACUGGACUGAUACAGAGAAGAUUAUCAUGGUCCCUGAACAAGGAUGACAUGCAAAUUCAUGAAGCAUUCCAUGUUUGU